rnacentral:rRNA from 1 species
AGUCGAGCGAAGUUUUUCUGGUGCUUGCACUAGAAAAACUUAGCGGCGAACGGGUGAGUAACACGUAAAGAACCUGCCUCAUAGACUGGGACAACUAUUGGAAACGAUAGCUAAUACCGGAUAACAGCAUUAACUGCAUGGUUGAUGUUUAAAAGUUGGUUUUGCUAACACUAUGAGAUGGCUUUGCGGUGCAUUAGCUAGUUGGUGGGGUAAAGGCCUACCAAGGCGACGAUGCAUAGCCGACCUGAGAGGGUGAUCGGCCACACUGGGACUGAGACACGGCCCAGACUCCUACGGGAGGCAGCAGUAGGGAAUCUUCCGCAAUGGGCGAAAGCCUGACGGAGCAACGCCGCGUGAGUGAAGAAGGAUUUCGGUUCGUAAAGCUCUGUUGUUAGGGAAGAAUGAUUGUGUAGUAACUAUACAUAGUAGAGACGGUACCUAACCAGAAAGCCACGGCUAACUACGUGCCAGCAGCCGCGGUAAUACGUAGGUGGCAAGCGUUGUCCGGAAUUAUUGGGCGUAAAGCGCGCGCAGGUGGUUUAAUAAGUCUGAUGUGAAAGCCCACGGCUCAACCGUGGAGGGUCAUUGGAAACUGUUAAACUUGAGUGCAGGAGAGAAAAGUGGAAUUCCUAGUGUAGCGGUGAAAUGCGUAGAGAUUAGGAGGAACACCAGUGGCGAAGGCGGCUUUUUGGCCUGUAACUGACACUGAGGCGCGAAAGCGUGGGGAGCAAACAGGAUUAGAUACCCUGGUAGUCCACGCCGGUAACGAUGAGUGCUAAGUGUUGGUCUCA